rnacentral:rRNA from 1 species
CCUACGGGGGGCAGCAGUGAGGAAUAUUGGUCAAUGGACGUAAGUCUGAACCAGCCAAGUCGCGUGAAGGAUGACUGCCCUAUGGUUUGUAAACUUCUUUUAUAGAGGAAUAAAACUAUCCACGUGUGGCUUUUUGCAUGUACUUUAUGAAUAAGGAUCGGCUAACUCCGUGCCAGCAGCCGCGGUAAUACGGAGGAUCCGAGCGUUAUCCGGAUUUAUUGGGUUUAAAGGGAGCGUAGAUGGUUUGUUAAGUCAGUUGUGAAAGUUUGCGGCUCAACCGUAAAAUUGCAAUUGAUACUGGAAGUCUUGAGUACAGUUGAGGUAAGCGGAAUGCGUGGUGUAGCGGUGAAAUGCUUAGAUAUCACGAAGAACCCCGAUUGCGAAGGCAGCUUACUAAACUGUGACUGACACUGAUGCUCGAAAGUGUGGGGAUCAAACAGGAUUAGAUACCCUUGUAGUC